GACUCACACAUUACCCCCUACCUCAUUGUGCCCUCAUUUUUUAAAAUACAAAACUGGAUUACACUGUGUGUGUAUGCAUAUGUGUAUUUUGGUAUUUUUUAAAAGCAUUAUGUGCAUUUUCUCACAAUCAUUAAAUAAUCAUAGCCAGUUACUUAAAACACAAUGCUAAAGAAAUUCAAAGGCUACACAGACUCUGCCACAAAAAAAAAAAAAAAAACAAACAAACAAACAAAAACACACACACACAUAGGUGGUACAAAAAAUAACGAUAAAGGGGGUGAUGGGCACUCUGCAAUAACAAGUAAUAAACUAAGUUCAGGGGGUACUAAAUUUAAGUUAUCCUACAUGUGUCUGCAAGUCAAAAUAAGCUCUUCUUUCUUCCAUGCGUUCCCGGUUUAAGUUGCUAUUAAAUUCUGCUGCUUUUUUGGCAGCUUUCUUAAUAUACUCAGGCACUUUACUGGCUUCAACUUUCU
rnacentral:lncRNA from 1 species